GCCAGUUUGGUGUAAUUGGUAACACGUCUCCUAGCCCGCGAGGGCAGGAGGAGCUACAGGUUCGAGUCCUCGCACUGGCA